GUUUCUCUGUGCUCCGGUGACGGCGCUGCCGCCCACGGCGGUAACCUGCCUUGGGUUAGCUGAUUUCGGCUGUUUUCGGUCGAAUUCAGCCGAACUUACAUUGGUUCCUGCGAGAAAACACACUUAGGGCCAUCGGUGGGCCAAAAAAACGUAGAAAACCAAAACUCACCGGCGGUGUGGCUCUCCGGUGAGUUGGGUGUUUUGCUUCGAUCAACCUCGUUUGGCGGUCAAAAAUCACUCCGAUGCGGCGGCAGGUGGUGGCGGUUGGCUCCCCGGUGACUGGGUUGUCUUCUCCGGUGAGGGGCUCUGGCAACUAGGGUUAGGGUUUGGGUGCUGAUGGAGUUAUUUAUACCCAUCUACUUUUGAUCUGGGCCGUCCAUCGCUUUUAAUCUGGAUCGUCUGAUCGCGAUUAAAUAGGGAGUGAAUCUGAGCCGUUCAUCGCGAUUUAAUU
rnacentral:lncRNA from 1 species